UUAAUUGAAACCAAAGUGGAGGUGUAUUAUUGUUAAUAAUAUUAUUGAAAUUUAUUUCCAAUUAAG
rnacentral:tRNA from 1 species